CUGGCUCAGGACGAACGCUGGCGGCGUGCCUAACACAUGCAAAUCGAGCGAUGAAAUCCUUCGGGAUGGAUUAGCGGCGGACGGGUGAGUAACACGUGGGUAACCUGCCUUGUAGAGGGGGAUAGCCUUCCGAAAGGAAGAUUAAUACCGCAUAACAUCUUUUUUAUCGCAUGGUAGAAAGAUCAAAGGAGUAAUCCGCUACAAGAUGGACCCGCGGCGCAUUAGCUAGUUGGUGAGGUAACGGCUCACCAAGGCGACGAUGCGUAGCCGACCUGAGAGGGUGAUCGGCCACAUUGGAACUGAGACACGGUCCAGACUCCUACGGGAGGCAGCAGUGGGGAAUAUUGCGCAAUGGGGGGAAAAACCCCCUGACGCAGCAACGCCGCGUGAAUGAAGAAGGCCUUAGGGUUGUAAAGUUCUGUUUACGGGGACGAUAAUGACGGUACCCGUGGAGGAAGCCACGGCUAACUACGUGCCAGCCGCAGC
rnacentral:rRNA from 1 species